rnacentral:rRNA from 1 species
GAUGAACGCUGGCGGCGUGCCUAAUACAUGCAAGUCGAGCGAACGGACGAGAAGCUUGCUUCUCUGAUGUUAGCGGCGGACGGGUGAGUAACACGUGGAUAACCUACCUAUAAGACUGGAAUAACUUCGGGAAACCGGAGCUAAUACCGGAUAAUAUUUUGAACCGCAUGGUUCAAAAGUGAAAGACGGUCUUGCUGUCACUUAUAGAUGGAUCCGCACUGCAUUAGCUAGUUGGUAAGGUAACGGCUUACCAAGGCAACGAUGCAUAGCCGACCUGAGAGGGUGAUCGGCCACACUGGAACUGAGACACGGUCCAGACUCCUACGGGAGGCAGCAGUAGGGAAUCUUCCGCAAUGGGCGAAAGCCUGACGGAGCAACGCCGCGUGAGUGAUGAAGGUCUUCGGAUCGUAAAACUCUGUUAUUAGGGAAGAACAUAUGUGUAAGUAACUGUGCACAUCUUGACGGUACCUAAUCAGAAAGCCACGGCUAACUACGUG